GAUUCGGGCUCUGCGAGAUGACGCCAGCAUUUCGUACCGCUUGGUUUCUCGAUCGCGCAGUUAGUGCUUGGGUGGAAAGGGAUUGGUGCACUCAAUUAUGGAGGCUGAAAAGUCCCACAAUCUGCAUUCUGCAAAUUGGACACCCUGGAGAGCUGGUGGUGUAAUUCAGUUUGAGUCUGAAGGCCUGAGAACCUGGGGAGCUUGAUGGUGUAAAUCCAGUCUAAGUGCAAGAGAAGACCAAUGGCCCAGUCCAGCAGUCAGAUGUCUCAUGCUUUAUUUUUACCCUGCGGUGAUUAAGGCCACGCCCCACUUGGCCGUUGGUGCUGUCUCUGCAAAGACGGAAGGGCAGCCUCCUCCGAAUGCCCGAACAGCUGCCAUCUUUCCUGGCCUCAGGGGCGCUCAGAGUAGGCACAGCAGUGCUCCCACAGCCUCACCGGCGUUCUUCCCCGGCCUUGCCGGCUCUCCAGACCUGGUCUGCCUCAGACUCUUGCUGUGAAGCCUUGUUUGUCUGCUCUAAAGAUGCACAC